CUUGCUGGGUGGAUUAGUGGCGAACGGGUGAGUAACACGUGAGUAACCUGCCCUUGACUCUGGGAUAAGCCCGGGAAACUGGGUCUAAUACCGGAUAGGAGCGCCUGUCGCAUGACGGGUGUUGGAAAGAUUUUUCGGUCAUGGAUGGACUCGCGGCCUAUCAGCUUGUUGGUGAGGUAAUGGCUCACCAAGGCGACGACGGGUAGCCGGCCUGAGAGGGUGACCGGCCACACUGGGACUGAGACACGGCCCAGACUCCUACGGGAGGCAGCAGUGGGGAAUAUUGCACAAUGGGCGGAAGCCUGAUGCAGCGACGCCGCGUGAGGGAUGACGGCCUUCGGGUUGUAAACCUCUUUCAGUAGGGAAGAAGCGAAAGUGACGGUACCUGCAGAAGAAGCACCGGCUAACUACGUGCCAGCAGCCGCGGUAAUACGUAGGGUGCGAGCGUUAUCCGGAAUUAUUGGGCGUAAAGAGCUCGUAGGCGGUUUGUCGCGUCUGUCGUGAAAGUCCGGGGCUUAACCCCGGAUCUGCGGUGGGUACGGGCAGACUAGAGUGCAGUAGGGGAGACUGGAAUUCCUGGUGUAGCGGUGGAAUGGCGCAAUAUCAGGAGGAACACCGAUGGCGAAGGCAGGUCUCUGGGCUGUAACUGACGCUGAGGAGCGAAAGCAUGGGGAGCGAACAGGAUUAGAUACCCUGGUAGUCCAUGCCGUAAACGUUGGGCACUAGGUGUGGGGA
rnacentral:rRNA from 1 species